UCCUAGGCCGACACUGUCGCUGCAAGUUUAACCAGCAGCAAAGGACUGGAGAACCGGACGAAGAGGAAGGAACUCUGCGGAGCUCAAUCCGGCGUUUAUCCACAAGGAUGAGAUAGAAGACAUUGGAACUGGGUUAUCUUCUUUUGGGCCUCUGAGGUAGCUGCAUCCGUUAUUUUCCUGGAUCUGGAGCACCCCCUCUUUUGUUCCGCUUGGCCUUGGUCCUCCCAACAAGGCCCCAUUGCUUGCCACAACUCCAGUGAAUUCCAGAACUGGUUGUCUCUGGGGUCAUCCCAACCCAAGCAAGCCCCACCAAGGCCUUCUCCUUCUGUUUUGGCUUGCUCUUUGAAGUCCACUGCCUCUCCGAGAGGGAGGGCAGCCUUCUAACCAUUGGCCUUCAACCAAGUUCUAGUGACCAUGUGGGAUUCUAACUCAUGAGCUCAGCUCAAGCUCCUUUACAGUAGAGCCCUGUCUGAGCCCUUCUCUUUUAAAAAGUUCUCCUUGGGCUUCUGGAAAUAAAAGUGCCUUGAGUCAA